AUUGAACGCUGGCGGCAUGCCUUACACAUGCAAGUCGAACGGUAACAGGUCUUCGGAUGCUGACGAGUGGCGAACGGGUGAGUAAUACAUCGGAACGUGCCCGAUCGUGGGGGAUAACGAAGCGAAAGCUUAGCUAAUACCGCAUACGAUCUACGGAUGAAAGCGGGGGAUCUUCGGACCUCGCGCGGACGGAGCGGCCGAUGGCAGAUUAGGUAGUUGGUGGGAUAAAAGCUUACCAAGCCGACGAUCUGUAGCUGGUCUGAGAGGAUGAUCAGCCACACUGGGACUGAGACACGGCCCAGACUCCUACGGGAGGCAGCAGUGGGGAAUUUUGGACAAUGGGCGCAAGCCUGAUCCAGCCAUGCCGCGUGCAGGAUGAAGGCCUUCGGGUUGUAAACUGCUUUUGUACGGAACGAAAAGGUGCCUUCUAAUAAAGGGCGCUCAUGACGGUACCGUAAGAAUAAGCACCGGCUAACUACGUG
rnacentral:rRNA from 1 species